UUCUAAUGAUGACAAAACAAAGAAGUCGGAGGGUGAUGGGGACAAGGAAGAGAAGAAAGAAGACUCCGAGAAGGAAGCCAAAAAGAGUAGCAAGAAGCGGAACCGGAAGCACAGUGGUGACGACAGCUUUGACGAGGGCAGCGUGUCAGAGUCUGAGUCGGAGUCAGAGAGCGGCCAGGCUGAGGAGGAGAAGGAGGAGGCCGAAGCGCUCAAGGAGAAGGAGAAGCCCAAGGAAGAAGAAUGGGAGAAGCCCAAGGACGCCGCGGGGCUGGAGUGCAAGCCGCGGCCGCUGCAUAAGACCUGCUCCCUCUUCAUGCGCAACAUCGCGCCCAACAUCUCCCGGGCCGAGAUCAUCUCCGUGAGUGGGGACCCGUGGAGUCAGGGCAGGGCUGAUGGAGAAGUGGAGGGUAGAGGGAAGGCAGUGGGGCCCUGCCUGUGACAGAUGCCCCCGUUUCACCUGCUAGGGAGGCCCCUUCCCCAGGUUCCAUGGCCUCCGAGGACUAGUCCUGAUAGCGCCAUUGGCUUUCAGGUGCUGGUGUUCUGAAGCCCUUUAGUGGUUUUUCCCUGCCCAAGGA
rnacentral:lncRNA from 10 species